AUCCAACACAUGUUACCAAUAGUAGCAAGUUUCAUCCAUACAUAUACAUAGUUUCAUCAAUAUUACACAGUUUCAUCCAUAGGUAGCAAGUUUCACAAGGUCAAAACAAAAAGUAAAUACAAGCACUCCAUCAACCCAAGCUUCCAUGAUCUUAAGCAAAUCUGUAAAACGGGAAAAAGGAAGUUAGAAGAAGAAGAUUAUUAUGAUGCAACUAAAAUGUGAAGAUUAUUAUGAUGCAACUUAUAUCUGUAAAACAUGUCAUUUUGGAGCUAAGUAUGGUUAUUAUGUCAUUUUUGAGCUAGCUAAGCAUACUAAGUAAUUUUGGUGUAAAACAUGCUAUGGUCAUUCUAGAGCUAAGUAAGGUUAUUAUGUCAUUUUGGAGCUAGCUAAGCAUGUGAAGUCAUUUAGGAGCUAAAAUAUGUCAUUUCUUAAGCAUAUCAUGUCAUUUUAGAGUUAGCUAAGCAUAUUAAGUCAUUUUGGAGGAAAAGAUGCUAAGUAUAGGUCAUUUUAGAGCUAUCUUAGGUUAAAUAGGUCAUUUUUAAGCUAGCUAAGCAUAUUAAGUCAUUUUGGAGGGAAAAAUGCUAGGUAUAGGUCAUUUUAGAGCUAUCCUAGGUUAAAUAGGUCAUUUUGGAGCUAAUUAAGCUUAUUACGUAAUUUUUGAGCUAGCUAAGCAUAUUGAGUCAUUUUGGAGGAAAAAAUGCUAAGUAUAGGUCAUUUUAGAGCUAUCCUAGGUUAAAUAGGUCAUUUUGGAGCUAAGUAAGGUUAUUAUGUCAUUUUGGAGCUAGCUAAGCAUAUUGAAGUCAUUUAGGAGCUAAAAUAUGUCAUUUCUUAAGCUUAUUAUGUCAUUUUAGAGCUAGUUAAGCAUAUUAAGUCAUUUUGGAGGAAAAGAUGCUAAGUAUAGGUCAUUUUAGAGCUAUCCUAGGUUAAAUAGGUCAUUUUUAAGCUAGCUAAGCAUAUUAAGUCAUUUUGGAGGAAAAUGCUAAGUAUAGGUCAUUUUAGAGCUAUCCUAGGUUAAAUAGGUCAUUUUGGAGCUAAUUAAGCUUAUUAUGUAAUUUUUGAGCUAGCUAAUCAUAUUGAGUCAUUUAGGAGGAAAAAAUGCUAAGUAUAGGUCAUUUUAGAGCUAGCCUAGGUUAAAUUGGUCAUUUUGGAGCUAAGUAAGGUUAUUAUGUCAUUUUGCAGCUAGCUAAGCAUAUGAAGUCAUUUAGGACCUAAAAUAUGUCAUUUCUUAAGCAUAUUAUGUCAUUUUAGAGUUAGCUAAGCAUAUUAAGUCAUUUUGGAGGAAAAGAUGCUAAGUAUAGGUGAUUUUAGAGCUAUCCUAGGUUAAAUAGGUCAUUUUUAAGCUAGCUAAGCAUAUUAAGUCAUUUUGGAGGAAACAAUUCUAAGUAUAGGUCAUUUUAGAGCUAUUGUAGAUUAAAUUGGUCAUUUUGGAGCUAAUUAAGCUUAUUAUGUAAUUUUUGAGCUAGCUAAUCAUAUUGAGUCAUUUUGGAGGAAAAAAAUGCUAAGUAUAGGUCAUUUUAGAGCUAUCCUAGGUUAAAUAAGUCAUUUUAGAGCUAAGUAAGGUUAUAAUGUCAUUUUGGAGCUAGCUAAGCAUGUGAAGUCAUUUAGGAGCUAAACUAUGUCAUUUCUUAAGCAUAUUAUGUCAUUUUAGAGCUAGUUAAGCAUAUUAAGUAAUUUUGGAGGAAAAUAUUCUAAGUAUAGGUCAUUUUAGAGCUAUCCUAGGUUAAAUAGGUCAUUUUGAAGCUAGCUAAGCAUAUUAAGUCAUUUUGGAGGAAAAAAUGCUAAGUAUAGGUCAUUUUAGAGCUAUCCUAGGUUAAAUAGGUCAUUUUGGAGCUAAUUAAGCUUAUUACGUCAUUUUUGAGCUAGCUAAGCAUAUUGAGUCAUUUAGGAGGAAAAAAUGCUAAGUAUAGGUCAUUUUAGAGCUAGCCUAGGUUAAAUAGGUCAUUUUGGAGCUAAGUAAGGUUAUUAUGUCAUUUUGGAGCUAGCUAAGCAUAUGAAGUCAUUUAGGACCUAAAAUAUGUCAUUUCUUAAGCAUAUUAUGUCAUUUUAGAGUUAGCUAAGCAUAUUAAGUCAUUUUGGAGGAAAAGAUGCUAAGUAUAGGUCAUUUUAGAGCUAUCCUAGGUUAAAGAUGUCAUUUUUAGGCUAGCUAAGCAUAUUAAGUCAUUUUGGAGGAAAAAUGCUAAGUAUGGGUCAUUUUAGAGCUAUCCUAGGUUAAAUAUGUCAUUUUGGAGCUAAUUAAGCUUAUUAUGUCAUUUUUGAGCUAGCUAAGCAUAUUGAGUCAUUUUGGAGGAAAAAAUGCUAAGUAUAUGAUUAUGUCGCUAGUAUCCAUAUGGCAGAGAACCCGGGCCGACAUGACUAGUCAUAGAACCAAGGUGGCACAAAUGUACAGGGACAGGCAUACAUGACCCAGCAAUGCACGUGUCGGUCAUCAGCGAGUGCAACCAAGUCGUAGCAAGCUACAAGGACUUCGGUGAUACACCGUGUGACAUUUCCCCGUAGGGACAGACACAGGAGCAAAGAAGGACACAUGCCGGUCAAUCCAUGUGUUCCGGAGCAGUAGAGAACUACCAUGGCUCAGUGAAAGCACUAGGAGGCAUUUCCCUGUAUGGAAGGCUACCAAAGGCACACGACUAGGUGUCGAAUCCCACACAUACAAUGCAUUUCAAACAUACACACAUUAUGCACGAUAUGUGUAGAUACAACAUGGCAUCACAACAAAACUCUAUUAAGGAAAACACUUGGGAAACUUACCGUCAUCACGGAGGUGUAGGUGUAGGUGUAGGUGUAGGACCGG
rnacentral:lncRNA from 1 species